rnacentral:lncRNA from 1 species
AAUGGCCGCAAAAAGCACCGUUACUUUCAUGCUUUUAGCUCUAUUUGCCUCUGCUGCUCUCGGUCAGGCUCCCGGAGCUGCACCGACGGUUUCUCCGCCGUCUAAAUCACCGUCAGCUGCACCUGCUCCUAAAACUGCAACUCCAGCACCUGCUCCAACUCAAGCGCCACCUGUCUCCGCUCCUUCUCCUGCUCCUCCAACUGCUGCUACACCUACCCCCGCUGGAGCGCCGACCAUGACUCCAACCAGCUCUCCACCAGCUCCUGUGGCUCC